rnacentral:tRNA from 1 species
GGGAUAUAGCUCAGCUGGCUAGAGCGCGGCGUUCGCAACGCCGAGGUCGCGGGUUCGAUUCCCGUUAUCUCC